rnacentral:rRNA from 1 species
AUUGAACGCUGGCGGCAGGCCUAACACAUGCAAGUCGAACGAGUGGCGGACGGGUGAGUAAUGUCUGGGAAUCUGCCUUAUGGAGGGGGAUAACGACGGGAAACUGUCGCUAAUACCGCGUACCAUCGGAUGAGCCCAAGUGGGAGUAGGUAGUGGGUGGGGUAAUGGCCUACCAAGCCGACGAUCCCUAGCUGGUCUGAGAGGAUGACCAGCCACACUGGGACUGAGACACGGCCCAGACUCUGACGGGAGGAAGCAGUGGGGAAUAUUGCGCAAUGGGGGCAAUCCUGACGCAGCCAUGCCGCGGGGAUGAAGAAGGCCUUCGGGUUGUAAAGUACUUUCGGUGAGGAGGCGUUACUAACAGAAGAAGCACCGGCUAACUCCGUGCCAGCAGCCGCGGUAAUUC